GGUUACUGCUAUCGAGGUUCGACUAAGCCAUGCGAGUCGAAUGUAGCAAUACAUGGCGAACUGCUCAGUAACACGUGGACAACCUGCCCUUAGGUUGGGUAUAAACCCGGGAAACUGGGUAUAAUACCCGAUAGGUCUCGAUUGCUGGAAUGCAUCGAGAUUUAAAGCUCCGGCGCCUAAGGAUGGGUCUGCGGCCUAUCAGGUAGUAGUGGGUGUAGCGUACCUACUAGCCUACGACGGGUACGGGUUGUGAGAGCAAGAGCCCGGAGAUGGAUUCUGAGACACGAAUCCAGGCCCUACGGGGUGCAGCAGGCGCGAAAACUUUACAAUGCUGGCAACAGCGAUAAGGGAACCUCGAGUGCCAGGUUACAAAUCUGGCUGUCGAGAUGCCUAAAAAGCAUUUCAUAGCAAGGGCCGGGCAAGACCGGUGCCAGCCGCCGCGGUAACACCGGCGGCUCGAGUGGUAACCGUUAUUAUUGGGUCUAAAGGGUCUGUAGCCCGGCCGGAUAAGUCUCUUGAGAAAUCUGGCAGCUUAACUGUCAGGCUUUCACGAGAUACUGUCUGGCUCGAGGCCGGGAGAGGUGAGAGGUACUUCAGGGUAGGGGUGAAAUCUUGUAAUCCUUGAGACCACCAGUGGCGAAGCGUCUCACAGAACGGACCUGACGCAAGGACGAAAGCUAGGCACGAACCGGAUUAGAUACCCGGUAGU
rnacentral:rRNA from 1 species